rnacentral:rRNA from 1 species
GACGAACGCUGGCGGCGUGCUUAACACAUGCAAGUCGAACGGACAGGCCCUGCUUUUGUGGGGUGCUCGAGUGGCGCACGGGUGAGUAACACGUGAGUAACCUGCCCUUGACUUUGGGAUAACUUCAGGAAACUGGGGCUAAUACCGGAUAGGAGCUCCUGCUGCAUGGUGGGGGUUGGAAAGUUUCGGCGGUUGGGGAUGGACUCGCGGCUUAUCAGCUUGUUGGUGGGGUAGUGGCUUACCAAGGCUUUGACGGAUAGCCGGCCUGAGAGGUUGACCGGCCACAUUGGGACUGAGAUACGGCCCAGACGCCUACGGGAGGCAGCAGUGGGGAAUAUUGCACAAUGGGCGGAAGCCUGAUGCAGCAACGCCGCGUGCGGGAUGACGGCCUUCGGGUUGUAAACCGCUUUCGCCUGUGACGAAGCGUGAGUGACGGUAAUGGGUAAAGAAGCACCGGCUAACUACGUG